GGAAGGUAAAAGUCGUAACAAGGUUUCCGUAGGUGAACCUGCGGAAGGAUCAUUAUUGUAUAACCGAGGUGCGAGGGCUGUCGCUGACCCGAAAGGUCGUGCACGCCCGAGUGCCCUCACACACAUCCAUCUCACCCCUAUGUGCACCACCGCGUGGGUCCCCCUUUGGCUUGUUCGGAGGGGGGCUUACGUUUUCACACAAACUUUGUAUGCAGUGUAGAAUGUAUUUUUUGUUUUUGCGAUCACGCAAUCAAUACAACUUUCAACAACGGAUCUCUUGGCUCUC
rnacentral:misc_RNA from 1 species